rnacentral:lncRNA from 1 species
CUAUACUUUACCCCAUUUUGUAUGUCUUUCAUCUUUACUAUUUAGUAUUAUCUAUUACAUUUCAAUAUUUCUUUAAAAAUUAGCAUUAUAUUAAAAUAUUAGCAUUAUAUUAAAAUAUUUAGUUGCAUUGUGUAUAUUAUGCAACUAAAAUUUAUAAAGAAGAAAGCCUUAUAUACUAUUAAAUAUUUUAUAUAGCAUAAUAAAAAGAAUAACUUAACUGGUAAGAAUAACAAAAAUAAUAUACCCUCUGAAAAUAAAUAAAAUAUAAAAUGCAUAAGUUGGUUAAAAAAAAACUGUAACUAUAUAAAUAUAUCCUCACAACUUGUUAUAUCUUAUUGAUUCUUCAAUAUAGGCAUUACACCAUUCUAGGUGAUGUGAUAAACAAGACAUUAUAGAUCUUACAUUGUACCAUGGAGAGAAGUGGUUAUUAAUAAUACAAUUGUAGAACUGUUUUAUUUAAUUGUACAGUUGCAUUAUUUAAUUAUAAUUAUCAUAAAUUCUUUGAUGGAAAGGAAAUCAGAAUCAGAUCUAAGAAGACUUCAGCAUUCCAAGAAUGAUGUCAAAUAACCCCCUUCAUGGUGGAUUACACACUUAUUUACUAUGAGAUAUAUUUCUUCUCCAGAGAUUCCUUGUUUGUAUAUCAAUUGUAGAUUUUUGGUUUGAUAUAAGAGUCUAUAUGUAUAUGAGAUUGUUUUAAGUUGUUGGUCUCUUAAUUGUAAGUUCAUCUCCAGUAUCCUGCAUUUGUACCCACCUCUUCUUCUGAUUUCUGAUUUUGGUGGUAUACUUGUGCAUGGAUGAUUUCAUAUCUUUACUGUAUUAUACCUCUGAACUAUUGUUUACACCUAGACUCACACAGGACCUUUUUUCAUAACCUAAUGUUCAUUUGUUUAUUUGUUUAACCAUCAUAUGACCGUUAAGCAGGUAAUAAUACAACCACUGAAAAAGUAAUUUCUAAUCUGUUCAAGAAUCCCAUGUUACCAUAAACCAACCACAUGACCCAGUAUGUUCAAACUUUUUAACAAUCAUCAUUUGAAUUUACUGUUAGCAUUACAAUAAAUAUGCAUUAAAGAGCCAAAGUCCCAUACCUUCAUCAUCCCAGCAAGCACUUUUAGCCCCUAUCAAAAUGAGAAUAUUACUGAAAAAAUUGAAUAACCAUUUUCCUUGCCCUUGUUAUUCAGUUUUAUUUUUCUAAGUGAACCUAGAAAAACCACUAUCUUUUGGAUGUUUUCUUCUGUAGCUUCCUUUUGUUUAUUCUUAAAACUUGAACUUACAAUCAAAAGAAUGCAAAUUAAAGUAGCAAUAGGAUAUUAUCAUUUUCUCCUUAGAACAGAAGCACUAAUUUUUCAAUGAUAUUGUUUAAUGUUGAUGGCAUUACUUUAGAUAAUAAUUCCCGUGUGCCACUUGGCAAGAGUAAAUUUAAGCUUCCCUGGGAAGCCUAAAAUAUUUCUGCCUUUCACAAAUAAUUUGAGUUUUAGAACCCUUUAAGAAAGGAGAUAGCUAUACAUGCAGGUGAAGAUUUAGGAAUAAGGAAAUUCUUUAUAUUGUCAUUUGAUACAAAAAAUUUAAGCUAGUUAAAUAGUUAAGUUAUAGUACGUACACAUGAUGGCAUAUCUUCUAUCCAAUAAAAGGUAUAUUUACAAAAAGUGAUGAAAUACUCGUGAUAUGAUGUUACAUAAAAAUAUAAACUGUAAAGAAUAUAAUUUCAAUUUACUUUUUAAAGUAUACAGAGAGAGGGAGAGACAGAGACCAACACACAGACACAUACAAGGUAGUCAGGGAAGAGGGAUGGUAGCUGUUGUACCUGCAUAUGCAGAUGGAAACCAUACUCUCAGACAAACCACCCAAAACCAGGGAUUUAGUUGUUAUCUCUGAGCUACAAAAGAUACUCUUUUCUUUCUUACACUUUUCUAUAUUUUCUGGUUUUCCUACAAUAACACGUGGUCAUUGGGAACUAAUUAUCUUUAAUUAGCUCAUGAGACCCUAGCAUUAUGUAAAUGAAUGACAUGGAGGAUAAGAUUAUCAAAACAAAAAAGUAGGAAGAUAAUCAACUUCUGUGAGACACACUAUUAAGCAGAACUAUUUUAUAAUUUUUAAGAGCAUCUUCUCUCCUAGUGAAUGAUUUUUCACUCUGAUUAAAGCACUGUUUAACAAAAGGAAUUUUUAAACAGUAUAUUGCAAGCAUUUUCUAAGUUUCCCACAGUUUAUACUGCAAAUGAGAUAGGGCAACAUUGGGUUUUUUAAAUUCAAGGUGUCCGCAGAGAUCUUAGGAAACCUAAACAGCUGCCUCCAUACCCAAAUACAUGAGGAAAUAAUCUUGUGUGUAAUAUCAAUCUUUACACGACUGAUUGCUUUGAAUGGCCACCAGUGUCUUUAUAUAAAUCAGAUAAUAAUAGAAAAUGUGCUUUUAUUACAUGCAGAGCUCUGCUCUAGGUACUGUCAAUAGACCCAAGAGUCGGAGUUCCCGUCGUUCCCGUCGCGGCUCAGUGGUUAACAAAUCUGACAAAGAACCAUGAGGUUGCGGGUUCAAUCCCUGGCCUUUAUCAGUGGGUUAAGGAUCCAGCAUUGCCGUGAGCUGUCGUUGAGGUCGCAGAUGUGACUCGGAUCCCACAUUGCUGUGGCUGUGGUGUAGGACAGCAACUACAGCUCUGAUUUGACCCCUAGCCUGGGAACCUCCAUAUGC